UACGGAGGGAGCUAGCGUUGUUCGGAAUUACUGGGCGUAAAGCGCGCGUAGGCGGCUUUGUAAGUUAGAGGUGAAAGCCCGGGGCUCAACCCCGGAAUUGCCUUUAAGACUGCAUCGCUUGAAUCCGGGAGAGGUGAGUGGAAUUCCGAGUGUAGAGGUGAAAUGCGCAGAUAUCAGGAGGAACACCAGUAGCGAAGGCGGCACUCUGGGCCGGUACUGACGCUGAGGAGCGAAAGCGUGGGGAGCGAACAGG
rnacentral:rRNA from 1 species